rnacentral:rRNA from 1 species
UGCAAGUAGAACGCUGAAGAGAGGAGCUUGCUCUUCUUGGAUGAGUUGCGAACGGGUGAGUAACGCGUAGGUAACCUGCCUUGUAGCGGGGGAUAACUAUUGGAAACGAUAGCUAAUACCGCAUAACAAUGGAUGACACAUGUCAUUUAUUUGAGAGGGGCAAUUGCUCCACUACAAGAUGGACCUGCGUUGUAUUAGCUAGUAGGUGAGGUAACGGCUCACCUAGGCGACGAUACAUAGCCGACCUGAGAGGGUGAUCGGCCACACUGGGACUGAGACACGGCCCAGACUCCUACGGGAGGCAGCAGUAGGGAAUCUUCGGCAAUGGGGGCAACCCUGACCGAGCAACGCCGCGUGAGUGAAGAAGGUUUUCGGAUCGUAAAGCUCUGUCGUAAGUCAAGAACGAGUGUGAGAGUGGAAAGUUCACACUGUGACGGUAGCUUACCAGAAAGGGACGGCUAACUACGUGCCAGCAGCCGCGGUAAUACGUAGGUCCCGAGCGUUGUCCGGAUUUAUUGGGCGUAAAGCGAGCGCAGGCGGUUUGAUAAGUCUGAAGUUAAAGGCUAUGGCUCAACCAUAGUUCGCUUUGGAAACUGUCAAACUUGAGUGCAGAAGGGGAGAGUGGAAUUCCAUGUGUAGCGGUGAAAUGCGUAGAUAUAUGGAGGAACACCGGUGGCGAAAGCGGCUCUCUGGUCUGUAACUGACGCUGAGGCUCGAAAGCGUGGGGAGCGAACAGGAUUAGAUACCCUGGUAGUCCACGCCGUAAACGAUGAGUGCUAGGUGUUGGAUCCUUUCCGGGAUUCAGUGCCGCAGCUAACGCAUUAAGCACUCCGCCUGGGGAGUACGACCGCAAGG